UAGGGAAUCUUCCACAAUGGACGCAAGUCUGAUGGAGCAACGCCGCGUGAGUGAAGAAGGUCUUCGGAUCGUAAAGCUCUGUUGUUGGUGAAGAAGGAUAGAGGCAGUAACUGGUCUUUAUUUGACGGUAAUCAACCAGAAAGUCACGGCUAACUACGUGCCAC
rnacentral:rRNA from 1 species